CCGAACCGAUUGGUCCGAACCGAACCGAACCGAGCAUUAAGGAAAUCGGUUAGAGUUCGGUUAUCAAGAACAAACCGAUCGGAAGCUGUUUUAAAAAUGUUCGGUUAGUGUCUCGGUUCGGUUCGGUUCAUGAUAUCCGAUCGGUUAACCGAAAUUUAACCUACCUAUAUAUACAUUUCUCCAACCUUAUUUGUCGGCUUAACCUAAUCAGUUUCUCUUUUUCUCUCAAACAUGUGCCUUCGAUUCGGCGGUUCUCAGUUCUCACCCUAGCAAUCUCGUUCCCGUCGUCUGAUUCUCACAUCUUCCGACAACAAGAUGGGAAAUUGUGAAGUCUAUGAUGAACUAAGUAGAGAGGGCAAUUGAUUUCAUGUUUUGUUCGGUUCAUCAUUAUGAUUUCUUUUGGUCCCUGAUUCUGUAUUUUGGACAUUCUCAGUACUUAUUUUGAAACUAGGUGAAUUUCAAAAAAGUACGAACAAUUAUAUGUUUUUCUUGUAUUGAUUUAUGUUUGUCUUUCUGAUGUUUUGUAA